rnacentral:lncRNA from 1 species
AUUUUCUUGGUUUUAAUAUAGGUCUUAAUAGAAGAAGGGAAGGCUAAGACCAUUGCUUUUGAUGAAAUCCACAAAGCUCCUGAAGAGAAAAAGAGAGGAAUUACUAUUGCCAUGGUUGGAAUCUUUUCUCUAUGUUUUCCCCCAUUAGAUUUAUCAUUUGUUUUUCCUUGCAGCUGUUUUGAUUUUGUUUGGAAUGUAUAAUUUGAUUUUGCAGGCACACGUGGAAUAUGAGACUGCGAAGAGGCAUUAUGCUCAUGUAGAUUGCUCUGGACAUAAUGAUUAUGUCAAAGUGAGAUGAAAAAUUUACCUGGACUUAUUCUAAUGUACUGAUUUUUUAAAUUUUUUUGGCUUGCCAUUUCCAUGAAUUAGAUUGGCUUGUGAUCAUGUGAGUAUCUAUGUGAUAUAUAUGAGGCCAAUACGUGUUAUCACGAUUUUUUCCUUUAAUUUUUUAAUAUUUUCUAAGACAACUAGGCAAAUAACAUGUGGAGAAACCAUGAAGCUUAAAAUUGUUUGUAUGCGUACUGGCUUAUGCUGAAAUUCCCUAAUCUGGCUUGAUAGAUUCAUCCUUAUCCAUUAUCAGUUGUUUUCUCAUGAUGAAUAGGCUUUGUUGUCAUUAUUAAAAUUUGGACAGUUCUUUUUCUUUGAUCACUAAUCUAAAUUUCAAUGAUGAUCGAAGAUAUCAAGAUUGAUCUUUGUUUGUAGAUCAAUUUAGUGUGAAUUUCUCUUGAUUUACAUUAUUGCUCAAGUACUCACAUUAAUGCAUAAGUACUCACAUUAAUGCUUAAUUGUAUAUUAGAACUGAGCGUAGUGAAGAAACUAAUGAAAGGAUUCCAGUAAGUGUUGCCAAUCUCGAAGCGACAAAAAUGAUCAAUAUGUAAUUACUUUUGUCUAUAGAGAUUAAUUCACUGCUGCCAUUUGAGGUUAGUUGCUGGAACAUUUUGGCCUUUUUACUUUAUUACUUGCAACUAUGGCCAUGCAUCAGUAUUGCAUUAAAGAUACUGCUGAAAUGAAACAAUAUGAAUCCUUAUCUGUUGUUUUGGUUUGUGCCUCUAGUCUCCCAAUUUCAGCAUUUUGAUCAUUUUAUUUUUUUCCAAUUUGGGUAUCUAUGGUAGUAGUUUUGACAAUGAGGAUUGUGCAAUAGAAUCUUGAAAAUUAUUUUUUUAUGGAAGAAUUUUGGAUAAGGUCCUUUUGGUCGUUCCAGGUUUGGUAUAACUAGUUAAUGCACAGGCCUGAAAAUUUUUUGUCUUUGGAAUUUGGAAAUCUUAUCAGAGCAGCCUGGCAUUGCCACAGUUUUGGGGGCUAUUAGUUGACAAUUUGUGCGGCUUCCGUUUGGCCAGAAUUUAUCUUUUGCUCAAUGAAACCAAAUUGUGAAUGGAAAGCACAAGCAGGCAAUGUAUGUAUUGCUUCUUUUGAUUGGAGUUGCAGUGGAAUUUGCAAGUUAGUAGAGAAGAUCAAAUUUGCACAACCAGAUUGUGAAUGGAAAGCACCAGUUAUGGAGUCACGGCAUGUUUUGCACACAUUCUUUUGCAUUGGAGUAGAGGGGAUGUUCCCAUAAAAAAAAGAAAAAAAAGGGAUGUUAUAUUUUUGGAUAUGAUACUUGAUUGUGAGUAUAAUAGCAUCAAAUGUGUUAUUUGUUUCAAAAGGAC